UUUACAAACCUCUUAAUCACUCCAAAAUCACUCUCUAAUCACUCCAAAAAUUCCCAGCUUUGAGCAGAAAGUUUAAGUCAUUCAAAGUGAGUUCUAGCUCACUUCUUCAACUCUUUUCUUCUUGUUUCUUCUUCUAAAACACUUGGAUAACCUCUAGGAAGGUUUUCACAAGUUUGCUUGGGUAAACUAAGGUGAAACCUCACCAUUUUUGAGGUCCAAAGUGCAUAUAAAAUUCUGCUCAUUUUUAUUUCUUUUUGUGUUCAUAUUUUGAUCGAAAACUUGGUGGAAUCUUGUUCCCACCAAGCUCAUAACUUAGUCUAUGGUUGUGAGUUUGUGUUUAGGGGAUUUCCAUCAAAGUUUUGGGUUCAAACACCCCUUUUAUUUCUGUUUAUACAUAACAAAUCAAUGAUGAAAACAAGCACAAGACAUCAUCUUUUAUAUGAUGAACUUGUGACUUGUGAAGUGUGAACAAAUGGAAGAUUUGGUUUUCCAAACUAAGUUCCACUCCUUCAUUUGAACAUUUUAUAACUUAUUAGAUUAGAUUUACUUUAUUAUUAGUUCAUGACCCUCCUUGUAUGUUUUUACAUCAAGUGUAGUGGUGAACCAUAAGAGGUACCUAAAUGAAAGCUUGUUCUUCCUACCUCCUACAUGACUUCCAUGAUACUAGAGGUUCCUAAAUGAAGAAUAAUCUUCUACCUCAUGCUUGAUUAAUGGACUAAAUAAUACCUAUAAUACUUAUACCUAUACAUACUAUUCGAACUCUUGAUGGUGGGCUUGUGUUCAUUUGUCAAGAUAUUAGAAUAACAUCAUCUAAGACAUAAGACUUGUUACGAUUCUAAUGAGUAUAUUACUCAUGAAAACAUUAACCCUUGAGGUUUCAUAGUGUCAAGAACAAGUACUUAGUGUUAAAAGAUGAUUACUUUUGAAUACUUAUAUUCUUGUGUUUUAACUUCCUAAAUCUCUAAACAAACACAUUCAACCUUUUAACCUCAUCAACUUCGUCACAUUGGAUAAUCGGAAAGCAUAUGCAAAUUUGUUGAGGAUUGAUGAUGCUAUGAAAACGGACUAGCAAAGAUGCAUAGAUACUCACUUAGACGUCUUAGGUCAAAUACGUUGUAUAAAUUUCAUAUUUGAUGUUGUAUUGUUUUCUUGUAUUUUUUAAUGUAUUGUAACAUUUAUUUAUGAAUGAAAUCAAUU
rnacentral:lncRNA from 1 species